UACAGAGGGUGCGAGCGUUAUUCGGAAUUACUGGGCGUAAAGCGUGCGCAGGUGGUUACGUAAGUCGGGUGUGAAAGCCCCGGGCUCAACCUGGGAAUUGCAUUCGAGACUGCGUAGCUAGGGUGCGGAAGAGGGAAGCGGAAUUUCCGGUGUAGCGGUGAAAUGCGUAGAUAUCGGAAGGAACACCAGUGGCGAAAGCGGCUUCCUGGUCCAGCACCGACAUUCAGGCACGAAAGCGUGGGGAGCAAACAGG
rnacentral:rRNA from 1 species